GCAUCAAAUGAUGAGAGAGAAACUGCAACAAUAUGAUCGAUUCAUUUCAUGAUUCGCUUGUAUUUAAGUCUCUGAUCAUC